GUUGGACUGCAUAUUUCCGGGCUGUGCUUGGGGCAUCAGCCUGCCUGAUGUUGAUAACAUUGUGUCUUUGGCUGGUUCUCAAGAUUUCGGCCUUCUCCGCUGUGGGUGGGGCCUUGUGGUCAGAAAUGUUUCUCACGACUUGUGUGUCUUGCCAGGAGAUUUUGGUGUUCUUCUCAAGGGCCCUUGGGACUAGGGCGGUGUUGAGGUUGCCUUUGGAUAUGUUGUCCUUGUGUUCUGCAGUUCGGUCUCUGAAGUUUCGAGCUGUGGCUCCUGUGAGGACUUCUGGCUGAUUAUUGUCCAAGUUUUGUGGGGGAAUCCUAUGGACUCCUGACUUAGGGUCUUUGUGUCUUCUGGACUUGUCAUUCCGAAGUGGAUUGGGGACGGUGGGAGCCCUCCUGGAUGUUCGUUCUUUAUUCCUGGAUCUAGGGGUGGAUUUGGUGGCAUUACUUUUGUGUGAUCUAUAGAGUAUGGGAGGUCAAAAAGGG
rnacentral:lncRNA from 1 species